rnacentral:rRNA from 1 species
GACGAACGCUGGCGGCGUGCCUAAUACAUGCAAGUAGAACGCUGAAGGAGGAGCUUGCCCUUCUGGAUGAGUUGCGAACGGGUGAGUAACGCGUAGGUAACCUGCCUGGUAGCGGGGGAUAACUAUUGGAAACGAUAGCUAAUACCGCAUAACAGUAGAUGUUGCAUGACAUUUGCUUAAAAGGUGCAAUUGCACCACUACCAGAUGGACCUGCGUUGUAUUAGCUAGUUGGUGGGGUAACGGCUCACCAAGGCGACGAUACAUAGCCGACCUGAGAGGGGGAUCGGCCAAACUGGGACUGAGACACGGCCCAGACUCCUACGGGAGGCAGCAGUAGGGAAUCUUCGGCAAUGGACGGAAGUCUGACCGAGCAACGCCGCGUGAGUGAAGAAGGUUUUCGGAUCGUAAAGCUCUGUUGUAAGAGAAGAACGAGUGUGAGAGUGGAAAGUUCACACUGUGACGGUAUCUUACCAGAAAGGGACGGCUAACUACGUG